CGCUGGCGGCGUGCCUAAUACAUGCAAGUCGAACGGUCUUUCUAUGGAAGCUUGCUUCCACUGAGAAGAUAGUGGCGAACGGGUGAGUAACACGUGGGUAACCUGCCCAUAAGAGGGGGAUAACAUCCGGAAACGGGUGCUAAUACCGCAUAGUUUUCUUGAUCGCAUGAUCGGGAAAGGAAAGACGGCCUUUGUGCUGUCGCUUAUGGAUGGACCCGCGGCGUAUUAGUUAGUUGGUGAGGUAACGGCUCACCAAGACGAUGAUACGUAGCCGACCUGAGAGGGUGAUCGGCCACAUUGGGACUGAGACACGGCCCAAACUCCUACGGGAGGCAGCAGUAGGGAAUCUUCCGCAAUGGACGAAAGUCUGACGGAGCAACGCCGCGUGAGUGAAGAAAAGGUUUUCGGAUCGUAAAACUCUGUUGUCAGAGAAGAACAAGUUGGAGAGUAACUGCUCCAGCCUUGACGGUAUCUGACCAGAAAGCCACGGCUAACUACGUGCCAGCCGCCGC
rnacentral:rRNA from 1 species